CACCCAUUAGAUAGAACCCUUUGUAUGAUAACAUAGGUAGGAUUCCCUUAUUCUUUUAUAUGAUAACAUAGGUAGAAUUCCCAUAUUCUUUGCAUGCCAACAUUAGGUAGAUGUUCCCAUUUGUAAAUCCUAACACCUAAGUACAUAUUGCAUGACAACUCUAGGGCAGAGCUUCCCCCAUUUCUUUUAGACCUUCCGUGCGUCUCCGAUCUUGUGGCAUGUCAGUCCGUCCUAUUGCAAAGAGGUAACUGCCUAAGACUCGAUUCAGCGAGCUGCGACACCUACUGCUAGGACGUGAACACAUUGCC
rnacentral:lncRNA from 1 species